rnacentral:lncRNA from 1 species
UUCUGGGUUGUGCUGAAGCAGUGGCUGAAGUACGCGACGGAAGAGAGACACAAGUGGGUAGCUUAGGAAUCUUUCAGUAGCAGUUGUUAGGGUGUAACAGACUGUGUAAAGCUGAUUAAGCAGAACUUGUAAUAAAGUGUACAAGGCGAUUUCUAAUAAAGCUUAAGGGUUGCUUGUAGUUGUUUGUCUCUUGAUUUAUCUUCUGCAUUACCUUAUUGUGGUGUCAUCUUUGCACUAACACACUUUGCCGUUUAGCUCACACCAUGGCUCUAGUUGUUUCAACACCUGCUUCUCUCCCAUUUAAAAGGAAACAAAUAAAUCCAAGCACAGUACUUCAGAUUAUAAAGACAUAAUAAACAUAUGAACUGACAAAAUAUUUGAAGAUAAGAGAUCUUAUCAACUACGUAUAGGGACGUGUAGUUCAAAUUCUUAUCUGAUAUCUUUUGCAUGAAAAAGGGAAGAGUGAAGGAAAUAAAAUAGAUCUCACAGUUGUUUGAUGAUUGCUCAUUUUACUUGUUUAG